rnacentral:rRNA from 1 species
ACACUCCUACGGGAGGCAGCAGUGGGGAAUUUUGGACAAUGGGCGAAAGCCUGAUCCAGCAAUGCCGCGUGAGUGAAGAAGGCCUUCGGGUUGUAAAGCUCUUUUGUCAGGGAAGAAACGGUGAAAGCUAAUAUCUUUUGCUAAUGACGGUACCUGAAGAAUAAGCACCGGCUAACUACGUGCCAGCAGCCGCGGUAAUACGUAGGGUGCAAGCGUUAAUCGGAAUUACUGGGCGUAAAGCGUGCGCAGGCGGUUUUGUAAGUCUGAUGUGAAAUCCCCGGGCUCAACCUGGGAAUUGCAUUGGAGACUGCAAGGCUAGAAUCUGGCAGAGGGGGGUAGAAUUCCACGUGUAGCAGUGAAAUGCGUAGAUAUGUGGAGGAACACCGAUGGCGAAGGCAGCCCCCUGGGUCAAGAUUGACGCUCAUGCACGAAAGCGUGGGGAGCAAACAGGAUUAGAAACCCGAGUAGUCC